ACAGCCUUAAUACGGGGCUGUUGCACAGUCAUUGAAUUUUGGAUUUUUCCAGCUCGGUCAAAAGUAACACGAGCACAAACAGUGGGGAGGAUUUCACACGAGCAGGAGGGCAGCACGGAUCUACAAGUCGGCUUCCUUAGGGAACCUGAAUAAAAAGCUAAUUUUCACUUGCAGGGAAAGAAAUGCAAGUCAAACCACCAGAGGAUCAGUGGGAAGCACCACAGAAGGGAAGGUGUGUUUGCCGUGAAGUUGCCUUGUGUUGGUACAAGUUUUGUGACCUCCUGAACCAGAACAAAUUACGUUUACCUGCCCCAGAGGAAGGGAAGAGAGACAAGGAAGUCAUCCUGUUUUAAGUGCGCAAAGAAAGGGUUCUUUCAUACACGCACACUGCUCUGUCCUCAGUCAGGCUACAUCUGCUUGGACAAAACACGACUCGGUCGGCAAGGUUAGCUCAACCCAGCGCUACACAACAGCCUGUUUGAACAGAGACAGGAAGAGAUGCAGUAUGUACGAAGGAGAAAAAAUUGCCAGAACGUUUCCCUUACUUUAUGGUCAGGCUGAAGGAAACCAGCAUCAUUUCAUAUGACUUAGCAACAGAAACUCUUCUGGCAACACACUAAAGCAACUGCUAGCAAAUGACUACAGGUAACAAAUCCACAGAAACCCAUUUGGAUACUCAGCAGCAACUCUUGUGAAAAUACCUCUCCUUCUCUCAUGCCUUCCUCUCCCCAACACACAAACUGUUACUGGUGUGAUGGGGGACCACAUUGGAAGCUUGCACUUUUGGACCCAGGGACAGAGCACUUCCCUUUGCAAGACAGCUAAAUGAAACCCUGCAGGAGCCAAGAGCUGGUAUGCACCCAUCACCCACAGCCAGCAGUGCUUUGGGCCUGAUCUGCUCGGGAAUAAGCACCUGGAGACCAAAGGUACCUCUGAGCCAAGGCUGGGAGAAGUCUGCAGCCUGACACAAGAAAGGGAAGAAUUUGGUUGGGAUGUGUACUAUGGCCUUACUGGA